UGGACCACAUUUGUGUUCUUUUUGAAGCAAAUACAGCACCUAGAGUUUGAUGUAACUGCAUGGAAAUGAGGGACCAGUACCAGUAGCCUACAGCUGAAGAUCUCUUCUAUCAAAUGAUUUUACAGUGACAUGAAGCAGCUUUGCAAAGAAUCAUGCCUUCAGGACCCUGGUGAGAAGCCGAAUACAACAAUGGCAUGAAAAGCUCCCUGAGAACACUUGUGAAAUUAGUGGAGAGAGACGAAGAGGCAGAAAAACAAUGCAUUCCGAGUUUCUACAAAAGGCAUUUGUUGGAAUGGAGCUUCUCCCUGAGUAGGCGAUGCAUUGCGGCAGGUUUGAUUUCAUUGACAUGGUUCUGACAUGUGAAAAAUGCAGUUGUGAUGUCAAAGCUACAGCAGAGGAGAAGAUCAAUACUUCAGAAGACUAGCACACGAGUCACAUGGUGAGUCAUCUGAUUCCCUUUACAGAGACUGUAACAGAACUGCAACAAUGAAUUCAACUCAAAUCACCAUUUGCGUUCACAUAAAAGAGCUGACGUUGAGUUUAAUUAAGUCUUAUUGGCAUACAAAGAGCUCAUAUGUUUGCAUAUUCAUCUGAGAAAGCGUUCAGUCCACGACAGAGAUGAUUUGUACCAUUGAACCAUUUCUGUUUUCAUCUCUCUUUGCUCGUCUUUUUAAAGAGGAUCAAGUGCCACAGCAAAAAAAAAAGAAAAUCCUUUUUAAAGAAAGUUGUCAGGAGAUUCUA